ACAACAAAUUACUUUUUAUCUUAAUCUACAACAUUUUCAAAACCUUGUUAAUACAAUUUAAAUUUUUUCUUAAAUUUUAGCGCGACAUUUCCCCCCUUCUCUCUUUCUGUCCCUCUCUCUUUUUUUUUUUUUUUUGGUUUUUCACUCCCCACUUUGCGCUCACGACUCUUUCUCCCUGUCAAAUGAAAUAAAGGGGGUGAAUUGAAAAACCUUUUCCCAAAGGCGCUUUCAACAAGCGGGGAAAGGUAGCCAGCUGGGUCUGAAUGGGCAACCAAUUCAACAAUGAAACCCAUAUUUCUACCUUUUUUUGAAGACAAAACUGCUAUCCCCUACCUUCCUUUGCGAAGGAGACGUUGGGAAAUUGAUAGCUCUGUAAGGGCAAUACAGAUUUCUCUGUCCCCAGAUCUACAAUCUGCCAUGGCAAGGUCGUCACAAUCAAAUCGACUAAAAUAUGGGGGCUCUGCUGAAUGAAAAUCAAAUACUCAGGCUCAACAUUUCCUCUUUCCCUCUUUGAUGAAACCCUAACCUUUCUCUUCCCAAUUUCUACGACAUUCCUCAUUAAAUCAAGUUUCAUACCACAUUUGACACUUCCUUGUAUAACUUGAAUGUUCUAAUGUGAGCCCACGAGAUGUCAAUCUAUGUGACCAAAACCUUUAUUUAAGCUACUUUUCUUGCUGCAAUAGUAAUCCCUCCCUGAGGAGUGAAGGGUUCAGUUUGUUGUGAAGUCAUGUUGCCCUGUACAUGCAUAUCUCGUAAGAAGGUUGUUGCAGGACUAAAUUCUGCUGGUUGCUAGGCACCUUAAUCAGGCCAUCAAUAUGGUGAUUCAUGCUUCAUCAUCAAAGCCUGCACAGGUUCGUGUUAAAAUUGUGUAAUGUUCAAUAUUUGAAUCAGCAUGAAAUUGUGAACAACGAGAGUCCAGGAGAUAUUGCAGGAAAUGUCUUGCUGGGUACCCUUUGAGGGUGUAGAAGCUGGUAGUCGAUAUCAGCAUCAGUGUCAUUCACUUUUUCUGAAAUAAGGAGCCAGUGGAAGAAGAUCUUUCGGGAGGCUGUUUUAUGCUAAAAAGAUGUGUUCGUGAUGGGUUUAGUGUUUGUGUUUUCUGUUAUUUGGUUUUCUUACAAUUCUUAAAGGAUCGUAAUUACAUAGCAAGAUCGAUCAACGUACUAUCCAGAAAAACUCGACAUGAUUUUAGGUUACUAUUUGUAAUUAGUUUUUUUUUUUUCUCCCGGUUACUAUCAGUAAUUACUUGUUAUGUUGUUGAAGACUUUGGUUCUCAUUGUAAUUAAUCUUGAACUAGAUUUUGCAAUUGUUAACUUUCGUAUUAAUGUGAAUUGCAAGUUUAAGAAAAAAAAAAAUUUGGCUU